rnacentral:lncRNA from 1 species
CAGGGUUCCAGCAUCGAUGAGCCGCCAGCCGCAGCAGGCGCGCCACCGGGGUCCGGCGCCGACGAGCAGCCGAGCGCAGCAGGCGCGCUUCUGGACUCCAGCGCGGACGAGCCGCCGGCCGCAGCGGGCGCGCCACGGGGAUCCGGUGCCGACGAGUAGUCGAGAGUAGCAGGUGCGCCACUGGACUCCAACGCCGACGAGCCGCCGGCCGCAGCGGGCGGACUCCAGGGUUCCAGCAUCGAUGAGCCGCCGGCCGCAGCAGGCGCGCCGCGGGGGUACGGCGCCGACGAGCAGCCGAGCGCAGCAGGCGCGCUUCUGGACUCCAGCGCCGACGAGCCGCCGGCCGCAGCGGGCGGACUCCAGGGUUCCAGCGCCGACGAGCUGACGGCCGUAGCGAGCGCGCUCCAGGAUUCACGCACCGACGAGCCGCCGGCCGCAGCAGGCGCGCUACUGGACUCCAGCGCCGACGAGCCGCCGGCCGGAGCGGGCCGGCUCCAAGAUCCACGCACCGACGAGCCGCGGGCCGCCGCGGCCGGCCUCCAUACGGAGGACGACACAACAUCACCGUUCAGAGUGUUAAUGGAAACAGACGAUACUGAACUGGGGCCGGACGCGGCAGGCGACGUACGCUGUGUUGCGCUGGGCAAAACAGUCCAAGAUGCUGGUAGCGGGUGAAAUACGCAGCUGCUCGUCGUCUCCUAGAGCGCCGCGGACGCCGUGGACUGCGCCAUCAAAGUCGACGAAAAGUCGGCUCCAGCAGCCGACCGUCUCAAACUACUCGGAGCCACCCCCUCAACCUGCUCCUUCACUUCGGGGCCCAUUGCCGCAGUCUCCGCUCCCGAGUGCGCCCGGCAUCCAGCAGCUUCGCAAGCUGACAGCGCGGGGCUGGGGACUAGAGGAACGACAGCUCUGCGCUGUAGCGUCUGGAUACGUCCGUGGAGUGCUGGUGCACGCGGCCGCCACCUGGCUCCUGGUGACGCCACAAUCCCACGUGGAACUCCUCCAGAGGGAGAUGCGGGCGGUGACCCGUAUAUCACCGGCUGCCCCUUGUUUACCCCCAGCCCACGCAGUGACGGCGGAGUCCGGACUGAUGCCGGUGCCCGCUGGCCGCCCGGCGAGACGUGCUGGUAGCGAAGCUCUUCGCCAAGGCGCACGCGCUCCCCGAGGGCAAGCCCUCAGGACUAUCGCGGAAAAUGGGCCGCCCAGCCGACUGAAGUCGAUGACGGGCUGGCGUGGGGUGGGGCACGAAACCUGGCGAGCGGCUGGGAUCGCCCUGCCGCUCGACCCCGCUGGUUGCAUGCCAGUGCUCCGCCGAGGGAGGUGGCCGCCUUCCCAGACUUCACCUUCAGGCUGGACAUCGGGACACUGCAGCGCGACGCCUCGGCUGAUGAACUACACCUGGCGGCACAGCGACACUUGGCCACCCUCCCCAGCAAGCCAUCAGGGUAUGAACUGACGCAUCGGCGGAAGCGGGAGUCCGCAGCGGAGAAGCCUUCGUGGAGUGUACACGGGUGUGGGAAAUGAAUGCUAAGUGUAUCCAAAUUGAAGGCACUGCUCUCGAAUGAUAUAAAUACUAGAGAUGUCAAUCGGAUGCCAAUUUUUUGGUAUACCGAUACCAAACCGAUACCAACUUGGUAUUUGGUAUUUCAAUCCUAAUGUACUUGGUAUUUUUUGGUAUUAUGAACCCUCACUUAUGUAUAAGAGGCUGAGAAAUUGGUUAAAAGUCGGUAUUUCCCUCAUGUUAUGAAGUUGGUUCGGUAUCGGUAUUUCUUCACGGUUUAUGUUGGUAUUUGGUUUGGAAUUGGUAUUCAUAUUUUCUAUAAUUGACUUCACUAAUAAAUACUGAACAGCU